CCUACGGGAGGCAGCAGUCGAGAAUCAUUCACAAUGGGGGAAACCCUGAUGGUGCGACGCCGCGUGGGGGAAUGAAGGUCUUCGGAUUGUAAACCCCUGUCAUGUGGGAGCAAAUUAAAAAGAUAGUACCACAAGAGGAAGAGACGGCUAACUCUGUGCCAGCAGCCGCGGUAAUACAGAGGUCUCAAGCGUUGUUCGGAAUCACUGGGCGUAAAGCGUGCGUAGGCUGUUACGUAAGUCGUGUGUGAAAUGCGCGGGCUCAACCCGCGGACGGCACGUGAUACUGCGAGACUAGAGUGAUGGAGGGGGAACCGGAAUUCUCGGUGUAGCAGUGAAAUGCGUAGAUAUCGAGAGGAACACUCGUGGCGAAGGCGAGUUCCUGGACAUUAACUGACGCUGAGGCACGAAGGCCAGGGGAGCGAAAGGGAUUAGAUACCCUUGUAGUC
rnacentral:rRNA from 1 species